CGAAAUAUCCAAAGAAGAGAAAAUUGUCUUAAGUUAAAUUUGGACGAAUAUGGAGAUGAAUUAAACAAAUGUAUUAAAUUCGAAGACAUUUCAAAUUAUUUGUACUAACAUGGAACAAAUGUGAACUUUCGGUCCUUGCUAAUAAUGUAUUUUAAACACACAUUUUCGCUUAACAGACUUUUCUCCCAUCCUGUGAUCGAAUAUCCAUAAUAAAGAGAUAAAGAAUAUUCCAACGACUGGAUAUUUUCCAUCUUCAUUGCAAUUUAAAUGUCUUCGAAAAUCCAAAUGUUUUCUAUCCUGACAGAUUUCUUCCCGAAAAUUCUUCCAAACGCUCACCUUACUCAUACAUCCCAUUUUCGGCAAGACCCAGGAUGUGUCCGGGAUAUUACUUGGCCAUGAUGAAAAUUAAACAGAUUCUGGCAACAAUUUUAAAAAUGUUGAAAGUAGGAUAUUUGGAAAAAACCUCACUCAAGUUCGGAAUUACUCUUAAUCCUAGUCGAUUACUCGAACUCCAAUUUGAACCAAGAAAACCGUAAAUAUUUUUACGUUAGAUGCUUUUGAGGCAUACUCAUAAAUUAUUACCGUCAAAAGUAUUGUAAUAUUUGGCAUUUUGUUCGAAAGAGCAGUGCUUUUGCUCUUUCUAAACGACGUCGUAAUAAAUCGAAAUGAAACCUAAACCAUAUAUUUUUUGGCAU